AAUUAAUCACCAGGGGGAGUUUGUGCUUUGGAUGGAUAUUUGGUUAAGCAUCACAAGGGCAGACAAAAGCAAGAAAAAUGUAUUUUUACCUAAAAAUACCUAUUCCAAUAAAAUAUUAGAAUAUAUUAAAUAAACAAAAUGCAAGAUAUCUGGCAAAGAUCCAACAAGCUAUACAGGCCCAGUUCUACCAGGUGUGCAGAGCGUGCGUGCACGAAGGCGGCCAAACAUAGAGGGCGGCCGCACGGCUCUGGAUUUUUGUCAUCGAAUGUCGGUAACGCUUCAAAGAAAAACCGGCAAGGCAAAUCUGAAAUACAACACACGAAUCUUAUGCACGAAUGCGGCACAUUAAUCAAGAAUGUUUUUAGUAUUUAGUGUUUGUUUCUACAAUCUUCAUUAUUGUAAAAAACACAAGUUGUCAGCUGGAUUGGC
rnacentral:lncRNA from 1 species